GUAGUCUCGCACAGAUGCAUAUCAAUAAGCGGAGGAAAAGAAACUAACAAGGAUUCCCUCAGUAACGGCGAGUGAAGCGGGAAGAGCUCAAAUUUGAAAUCUUGAAAGGUCACCUUUCACGAAUUGUAGUUUAAAGAAGUGUUUUCUGUUACGAUCGUAAUAUAAGUUCUUUGGAAUAGGACAUCACAGAGGGUGAGAAUCCCGUCUAUGAUUGCGAUUUGUAGCUUUGUGAUACACUUUCAAAGAGUCGGGUUGUUUGGGAAUGCAGCCCAAAACGGGAGGUAAAUUUCUUCUAAGGCUAAAUAUCGGCGAGAGACCGAUAGCGAACAAGUACCGUGAGGGAAAGAUGAAAAGAACUUUGAAAAGAGAGUUAAAUAGUACGUGAAAUUGUCAAAAGGGAAGCGUUUAACACCAGUGUUGUUUUCUGAAAAUCAACCUCUGUUAGCUUUAUGCAUGUUUGUUUAGACCUAAUCAGCUAUCUUGCAUGUUCUAUUGUUUGCAGUGGUGCACUUUUCAGUUUACAGGUCAACAUCAGUUUUUUUUACCGUAAAAAAGUUAAAGAAAGGUAGCUCAUGGCUCCGGUCGUGAGUGUUAUAGUCUUUUUCCUAUGCGGUAGGAGAGACUGAGGUCUGCAGUGUAGGCUAUCUGGCUAGAUACUCAGGUGCUAUGUGAUACCAUUUCAUAAACAACUUGUUGAUUAUGUUUUGUCUAUUGCAUACUCGCUUGUACUAUCAUACCUACGCUUAGGAUGUUGAAGAUGUAGCACAUCAU
rnacentral:rRNA from 1 species